CAUAUGGGUGAAAACACUGGAGGAGAAAGUCAUCGCUUUGUUAUUGGCCCUUGGACGCCCCUGGCAUCUCGUGUACAGCAUAAGAUUUUCAGCUAUUAAGAUUUCCAGAGUCUCUUCUUGGAGUCUCUGGGA